rnacentral:rRNA from 1 species
CCCUUAGAUGUUCUGGGCCGCACGCGUGCUACACUGAACGGUUCAAUGGGUAAGGUAGUGCGAAAGCAUGACCUAAUCUCGAAAUCCGUUCGUGCUGGGGAUAGAAGCUUGCAAUUAUCCUUCUUGAACGAGGAAUACCUUGUAAGCGUGAGUCAUCAUCUCACGCUGAAUACGUCCCUGCCCUUUGUACACACCGCCCGUCGCUCCUACCGAUUGAGUGUUCCGGUGAGGCUUUGGGAGAAUGGCCUCAACAUGAGUUUAUCGCGUUUUGCCGUUUGAACUUAGUCAAACCUUAUCACUUAGAGGAAGGAGAAGUCGUAACA